rnacentral:lncRNA from 1 species
AACAGUCGCGGAUUCGCGUGAAACCCAUCUCUUUCUUUCAUACUCUAAUAUAUAUGCAUAUAUCCAUAUAUAUAAUAUAAAUUCAAAUUUCAAAAUUUGAAUUCAAUUAACUUUCAAGAUUCAAAACUUUAGUUAUUACAUCAUUCCCCAGUUACAAAAAGUUUCGUCCCUGAAACUUAAUUAAUUGUCCCCACAACAGAUGCUAAUACCACUUCUACAUAUCAAUCUCAACCUCCCAUGUUUCCUCGCGUUCCUCAUGAUUCUCCCACUGAACCUUCACAUACAGAAUGCUUCGAUUCCACAAUUGCUUCACUUCACGUGCCAAUAUUUGUUUCGGAGCCUCAUCAU